rnacentral:rRNA from 1 species
CUGAUGCAGCGACGCCGCGUGAGGGAUGACGGCCUUCGGGUUGUAAACCUCUUUCAGCAGGGACGAAGCGCAAGUGACGGUACCUGCAGAAGAAGCACCGGCUAACUACGUGCCAGCAGCCGCGGUAAUACGUAGGGUGCAAGCGUUGUCCGGAAUUACUGGGCGUAAAGAGUUCGUAGGCGGUUUGUCGCGUCGUUUGUGAAAACCAGCAGCUCAACUGCUGGCUUGCAGGCGAUACGGGCAGACUUGAGUACUGCAGGGGAGACUGGAAUUCCUGGUGUAGCGGUGAAAUGCGCAGAUAUCAGGAGGAACACCGGUGGCGAAGGCGGGUCUCUGGGCAGUAACUGACGCUGAGGAACGAAAGCGUGGGUAGCGAACAGGAUUAGAUACCCUGGUAGUCCACGCCGUAAACGGUGGGCGCUAGGUGUGGGUUCCUUCCACGGAAUCCGUGCCGUAGCUAACGCAUUAAGCGCCCCGCCUGGGGAGUACGGCCGCAAGGCUAAAACUCAAAGGAAUUGACGGGGGCCCGCACAAGCGGCGGAGCAUGUGGAUUAAUUCGAUGCAACGCGAAGAACCUUACCUGGGUUUGACAUAUACCGGAAAGCUGCAGAGAUGUGGCCCCCCUUGUGGUCGGUAUA